CAGGCAAAUAAGAAAAACUGUCAGGUUCAAACAUGGAGUGGUGAAGAUUUGUACUUAAGUGUAAGAGCAAAUUUUGGUAAAAAAGAAAGAAUGGGUUUGUUGACUAUAAUGUUAUCAUUUUAUAAUGCCUGAAAACUAAGGUUUCAGGCCUAAGGGACUGGAAAGAAUGGAAUUCCCUGAUGAAAGCAGUUGACAGAAGAUGGGGG
rnacentral:lncRNA from 1 species